rnacentral:rRNA from 1 species
UACGGAGGAUCCAAGCGUUAUCCGGAUUUAUUGGGUUUAAAGGGUGCGUAGGCGGCCUGUUAAGUCAGGGGUGAAAGACGGUAGCUCAACUAUCGCAGUGCCCUUGAUACUGAUGGGCUUGAAUGGACUAGAGGCAGGCGGAAUGAGACAAGUAGCGGUGAAAUGCAUAGAUAUGUCUCAGAACACCGAUUGCGAAGGCAGCUUGCUAUGGUUUUAUUGACGCUGAGGCACGAAAGCGUGGGGGAUCAAACAGG